GGGGAUGUAGCUCAGUGGUAGAGCGCACGCUUUCCAUGUGUGAGGCCCCGGUUUCAAUCCCGGCAUCUCCA
rfam:Ciona savignyi cont_34470, whole genome shotgun sequence.